CUCUAGUCUCCUCCGCAGGCAACUCUUUGGCAAAAAUCUGAAUAUUAAAAAAAUCUAAAUAUUUUGCCAAUUUUUGCCAAAGAGUUGCCUGCGGAGAAGGCUAACA
rnacentral:miRNA from 1 species